rnacentral:rRNA from 1 species
UACGAAGGGGGGCUAGCGUUGCUCGGAAUUACUGGGCGUAAAGGGCUCGUAGGCGGCCAACUAAGUCAGACGUGAAAUCCCUCGGCUUAACCGGGGAACUGCGUCUGAUACUGGAUGGCUUGAGUUCGGGAGAGGGAUGCGGAAUUCCAGGUGUAGCGGUGAAAUGCGUAGAUAUCUGGAGGAACACCGGUGGCGAAGGCGGCAUCCUGGACCGGCAUUGACGCUGAGGAGCGAAAGCCAGGGGAGCAAACGGG